AGGCAUCUUUUUAUUUUUAAAAGACCUAGCAAUAGGUAUGCUUAGGGAAGAGCUUGCGUCACAUUAGUUAGUUGGUGGGGUAAUGGCCUACCAAGACGAUGAUGUGUAGCCGGGCUGAGAGGUCGAACGGCCACAUUGGGACUGAGACACGGCCCAAACUCCUACGGGAGGCAGCAGUAAGGAAUUUUCGGCAAUGGAGGAAACUCUGACCGAGCAAUGCCGCGUGAACGAUGAAGUAUUUCGGUACGUAAAGUUCUUUUAUUAGGGAAGAAAAGAUGGUGGAAAAACCAUUAUGACGGUACCUAAUGAAUAAGCCCCGGCUAACUAUGUGCCAGCAGCCGCGGUAAUACAUAGGGGGCAAGCGUUAUCCGGAAUUAUUGGGCGUAAAGGGUGCGUAGGCGGUUAAAUAAGUUUAUGGUCUAAGUGCAACGCUCAACGUUGUGAUGCUAUAAAAACUGUUUAGCUAGAGUUGGAUAGAGGCAAGUGGAAUUCCGUGUGUAGUGGUAAAAUGCGUAAAUAUACGGAGGAACACCAGAAGCGAAGGCGGCUUGCUGGGUCUUAACUGACGCUGAGGCACGAAAGCGUGGGGAGCAAACAGGAUUAGAUACCCUGGUAGUCCACGCCCUAAACGAUGAGUACUAAACGUUGGAUAAAACCAGUGUUGAAGUUAACACAUUAAGUACUCCGCCUGAGUAGUACGUACGCAAGUAUGAAACUUAAAGGAAUUGACGGGACUCCGCACAAGCGGUGGAUCAUGUUGUUUAAUUCGAAGGUACCCGAAAAACCUCACCAGGUCUUGACAUGCUUUUGCAAAGCUGUAGAAAUACAGUGGAGGUUAUCAGAAGCACAGGUGGUGCAUGGUUGUCGUCAGCUCGUGUCGUGAGAUGUUGGGUUAAGUCCCGCAACGAGCGCAACCCUUGUUGUUAAUUGCCAUCAUUAAGUUGGGGACUUUAGCAAGACUGCCAAUGAUAAAUUGGAGGAAGGUGGGGACGACGUCAAAUCAUCAUGCCCCUUAUGACCUGGGCUACAAACGUGAUACAAUGGCUGUUACAAAGGGUAGCUAAAGCGUAAGCUUCUGGCGAAUCUCAAAAAAGCAGUCUCAGUUCGGAUUGAAGUCUGCAACUCGACUUCAUGAAGUUGGAAUCGCUAGUAAUCGCGAAUCAGCAUGUCGCGGUGAAUACG
rnacentral:rRNA from 1 species